GCCAAAUGAUGAUAUUGUGCGUUAUUGAAAUAAAUGUAAAGAUUAAAGUUAAACCAAAGUUAAGAUAUUGUUUGUAAUCUUGGUAGAUUAACUUAGUUUGUUAAUUUGCUGUAAGGGCGAACAUAGAUUAAAUACUCUCAUUCAAAACACUGAAUAUUUUAAUAGAUUCAGAAUAUUCGGUACUGAGGAGAGUAAACAUUUUUCAGGGGGGUGGGGCUUACAGGUUGAUCAUUUACUUUACAUUUAUUCAUGAAAAUAAUUUUAGUAAUCUGAUGGCA
rnacentral:snoRNA from 1 species